rnacentral:rRNA from 1 species
GGUUAAGCGACUAAGCGUACACGGUGGAUGCCCUGGCAGUCAGAGGCGAUGAAGGGCGUGCUAAUCUGCGAUAAGCGCCGGUAAGGUGAUAUGAACCGUUAUAACCGGCGAUACCCGAAUGGGGAAACCCAGUGUGAUUCGUCACACUAUCAUUAACUGAAUCCAUAGGUUAAUGAGGCGAACCGGGGGAACUGAAACAUCUAAGUACCCCGAGGAAAAGAAAUCAACCGAGAUUCCCCCAGUAGCGGCGAGCGAACGGGGAGGAGCCCAGAGCCUGAAUCAGCAUGUGUGUUAGUGGAAGCGUCUGGAAAGGCGCGCGAUACAGGGUGACAGCCCCGUACACAAAAGCGCAUAUGCUGUGAGCUCGAUGAGUAGGGCGGGACACGUGGUAUCCUGUCUGAAUAUGGGGGGACCAUCCUCCAAGGCUAAAUACUCCUGACUGACCGAUAGUGAACCAGUACCGUGAGGGAAAGGCGAAAAGAACCCCGGCGAGGGGAGUGAAAAAGAACCUGAAACCGUGUACGUACAAGCAGUGGGAGCCCCACCACUAAGCCAGUGGUGAACUCCACAUACGCAUCCUUUGCUGAGGAGACGGUUAACGGAGCGAAAGCGACGUUCAACCUCAAAAGAAGCAGAGGGGGCUUAGUGGUGGGGUGACUGCGUACCUUUUGUAUAAUGGGUCAGCGACUUAUAUUCUGUAGCAAGGUUAACUGUAUAGGGGAGCCGGAGGGAAACCGAGUCUUAACCGGGCGUUAAGUUGCAGGGUAUAGACCCGAAACCCGGUGAUCUAGCCAUGGGCAGGUUGAAGGUUGGGUAACACUAACUGGAGGACCGAACCGACUAAUGUUGAAAAAUUAGCGGAUGACCUGUGGCUGGGGGUGAAAGGCCAAUCAAACCGGGAGAUAGCUGGUUCUCCCCGAAAGCUAUUUAGGUAGCGCCUCGUGAAUUCAUCUCCGGGGGUAGAGCACUGUUUCGGCUAGGGGGCCAUCCCGGCUUACCAACCCGAUGCAAACUGCGAAUACCGGAGAAUGUUAUCACGGGAGACACACGGCGGGUGCUAAUGUCCGUCGUGAAGAGGGAAACAACCCAGACCGCCAGCUAAGGUCCCAAAGUCAUGGUUAAGUGGGAAACGAUGUGGGAAGGCCCAGACAGCCAGGAUGUUGGCUUAGAAGCAGCCAUCAUUUAAAGAAAGCGUAAUAGCUCACUGGUCGAGUCGGCCUGCGCGGAAGAUGUAACGGGGCUAAACCAUGCACCGAAGCUGCGGCAGCGACACCGUGUGUUGUUGGGUAGGGGAGCGUUCUGUAAGCCUGUGAAGGUGUGCUGUGAGGCAUGCUGGAGGUAUCAGAAGUGCGAAUGCUGACAUAAGUAACGAUAAAGCGGGUGAAAAGCCCGCUCGCCGGAAGACCAAGGGUUCCUGUCCAACGUUAAUCGGGGCAGGGUGAGUCGACCCCUAAGGCGAGGCCGAAAGGCGUAGUCGAUGGGAAACGGGUUAAUAUUCCCGUACUUGGUGUUACUGCGAAGGGGGGACGGAGAAGGCUAUGUUGGCCGGGCGACGGUUGUCCCGGUUUAAGCGUGUAGGUAUGUGUUCCAGGUAAAUCCGGUUCACUUUAACACUGAGGCGUGACGACGAGGCACUACGGUGCUGAAGCAACAAAUGCCCUGCUUCCAGGAAAAGCCUCUAAGCAUCAGGUAACAUCAAAUCGUACCCCAAACCGACACAGGUGGUCAGGUAGAGAAUACCAAGGCGCUUGAGAGAACUCGGGUGAAGGAACUAGGCAAAAUGGUGCCGUAACUUCGGGAGAAGGCACGCUGACACGUAGGUGAAGUGAUUUACUCACGGAGCUGAAGUCAGCCGAAGAUACCAGCUGGCUGCAACUGUUUAUUAAAAACACAGCACUGUGCAAACACGAAAGUGGACGUAUACGGUGUGACGCCUGCCCGGUGCCGGAAGGUUAAUUGAUGGGGUCAGCGCAAGCGAAGCUCCUGAUCGAAGCCCCGGUAAACGGCGGCCGUAACUAUAACGGUCCUAAGGUAGCGAAAUUCCUUGUCGGGUAAGUUCCGACCUGCACGAAUGGCGUAAUGAUGGCCAGGCUGUCUCCACCCGAGACUCAGUGAAAUUGAACUCGCUGUGAAGAUGCAGUGUACCCGCGGCAAGACGGAAAGACCCCGUGAACCUUUACUAUAGCUUGACACUGAACAUUGAGCCUUGAUGUGUAGGAUAGGUGGGAGGCUUUGAAGUG